UCCAGGCUGGUCUCUGGGAGAGCGGGUAGCUCCCUGAACUGCACAGGAUUGACUUAGGAGGACAAGUCAGGAGCUUCCCUUCUCUGCCGAAGGGAAGAGACGCGAAAAGGGGCCCAGGACACCGAAGAGUGCUGAAGACAGGACAGGCCAAGCCCUGGAGUCUUAACCUAGACUUGCCUGAGACAGGCCACUCCCCCGGGACACACCAUCAGUUCUGGUCUAGUUUCUAGAUUUUUCUGAGUUCUCCCCAGAGCUCCCACCAUCUUUCCUCUCUUUUAAUGUCCUUCACCUUUUCUGUUUCCAUCUUUGCCUUUCUCUCCAGCCCUCUGUCCUGGCUCUCUGAGCUUCUGUGGACUUGGGAGGCCACGGGCAGGUGCCCUUGGGGCUCCCUGGGGAUCACUGAUCACUGACCUGCUUCCUUCUGUCCCAGGUGAGGCCAUCAGGGGGUGGGAGUUGCCACAAUUGUCCUGGUCACAAACGGCCUGGAUCAGUGAUCUUCUGUGUCUAAAACAGUCCCAGGGCAGAAGUGAUGGGGAGAGGGCUGAUCUCCCUCAGCACGGGGUGCUCCCUCACAUCCUGUGUCCACACUAGUAGGAACUUGGAUCACUCCUCUCAGGAUGGCAAACCUGUUCCUUCUCUUGCUGUGAGCCCAAGCUCCCAACUUCCAUCCCCUUGGGGACCACCUACCACUAAGUCCUUACUUUUGGAGGCCCCAAGACAACUUGGAACUUUAAGCUUACAUACAUGUGCCUUGUACCUGUGGGGGCCAGAAGAGGCCAUCAGCUCUGCUGGCACUAGAGUUACAGAUGGUCGUGAGCUGCCUGCCAUGUGGAUGCUGGCAAUUGAACCCCAGUCCUCUGCAAAGAGUAGCAGGCCUCACAUCUAAUCAAGAGAGCAUCUGGUUGCCCCCGUCAGCUGUCCGGCCACGAUUGCACCAGUGGGCAUAUCUUGCCUGGUAGGAUGAUACUGAACUACGCAGGAGCCAGAACUGAAUAAGGCCUCUGGUGUCUUUUCUUCUCCAGCAACCUACAUAGCCCGGCCCGCACUGUGAAAGCUAGCCACUCCGAGAGACGCCUGGUCAAUCCAAGAUCAGUGUCUUUAUGUCCUGCAACCAAACUGUGACGUUUUCAGCAACAGGGUCAUACCAUCUAGUUCUCACUGGCAACCAAGAACAACCACAAUAUCCUGUAUUGUUGAGCUGCCUCCUCUGGGGACACCCUGAGCAAUAAAACAAAGGAAGGUAACCCAUGCUGACUCUGGGAUUUUCAUUUACUAACCCACGUCUCCUGGGAGCUGCUUUCUCACCCACACUCGGUAUUUCCUUU